rnacentral:lncRNA from 1 species
UUAGAAUUUUGCUUGUCCUCAAGCAAAACAAAACACAAAACAAAACUUGGCUUUAUCCUCUUCCAUCCAAUGUUUCAACAAUCCCAAAGUACAUGACAAAACUACCCAAUUCAAUAUUUUCAGUGAAAUCCAACAUAAGAUGCAUGCAGGCUUUCAAUAUAGAGAUUGCACAACAGAUGUUAAACAUUAUGAAUGAUCAAUCCACUAAGCAAAAAUGCACUCAUGAAAAUUAACAGUUCAAACCAAGCAAGUGUUUCACUCAAUCACUCAAAUGUUUCAGGUGACACUCCAUCUCUCUAUUGUUCACAAGUUAUAUGAAACAAAAUUGCCAUUCAUCUCAAACAAUCAACAUCUUUACAUAUAAAUGCCAUCAAAAGGACUUUUUCAAGGCUUGUAAUGAGGUUGAGCNAACAAGAAAAAUUGGUUUUUCCGGAAUACAAAGUCCUUGAGUUAAGAGAGUUUUCAAAAUAUUCAACAAUUUAAGCACAUCUCUCUUCCUCACCAAUCUCCUUAUUCCCAACUUUCUCCCCUUUUUCUUUUUCAUUGAGCUCCUCUUCAUGCUUUUCUUCUUUUCGCAACUCUUAUUCUCAUGAAUUUUUCUUUUCACAACAUUUGAGCUUAAUGCUUUUCAUUUGCUUUUCUCAAUUUUCCCCCAUACAACCCCAAACUUGAACCUUUUCAUCAUAUACAUUUAAGCUCAUCCCAACUCAAG